GCUCACCCUUUGUAGCUCUUGCCGAACU
rnacentral:piRNA from 1 species